rnacentral:rRNA from 1 species
GCUUUUGGAGGGGGGUGCGUCCUAUCAGGUAGUUGGUGUGGUAAUAGCUCACCAAGCCUAUGACGGGUAGCCGGUCUGAGAGGAUGUCCGGCCGCAAUGGAACUGAGACACGGUCCAUACUCCUACGGGAGGCAGCAGUGGGGAAUCUUGCGCAAUGGGCGAAGGCCUGACGCAGCAAUCCCGCGUGAAGGAUGAAGCAUUAUGGUGUGUAAACUUCUUUUCUGGUGGAAGACGAAUGACGGUACACCAGGAAUAAGGGACGGCUAACUACGUGCCAGCAGCCGCGGUAAUACGUAGGUCCCAAGUGUUAUCCGGAAUUACUGGGCGUAAAGAGUCUGUAGCCGGGUUUGUAAGUCUGUUUUCAAAUCCUAUGGCUUAACCAUAGAGAGGGAAUGGAUACUGCAAACCUUGAGAUUAUUGGGGGUUGAUGGAAUUUCCGGUGGAGCGGUGAAAUGCGUUGAUAUCGGAAGGAACGCCAAAAGUGAAAGCAGUCAACUACAAUAAAUCUGACGGUCAGAGACGAAAGCUUGGGGAGCAAACGGGAUUAGAUACCCCGGUAGUCCAAGCCGUAAAUUAUGCAUGCUAGGUGUCUUGUUCACUUUAUGUGAGCGGGGUGCCGUAAUCUAACGAGUUAAGCAUGCCGCCUGGGUAGUAUAUUCGCAAGAAUGAAACUCAAAGGGAUAGGCGGGGGAACACACAAGCAGUGGAUUGUCUCGAUUAAUUGGAUAAUAAGCCAAGAAUCUUACCUAGACUUGACAUAUAUUGUGUCCUACGUGAAAGUGUAGUAAUCCCGAUUUUGUCGGGAUACGAUAUACAGGUGGUGCAUGGUCGUCGUCAGCUCGUGCCGCAAGAUGUCCAGUUAAGUCUGGGAACGAGCGCAACCCU